rnacentral:rRNA from 1 species
CGGCGUGCUUACACAUGCAGUCGAACGAUGAACCACUUCGGUGGGGAUUAGUGGCGAACGGGUGAGUAACACGUGGGCAAUCUGCCCUGCACUCUGGGACAAGCCCUGGAAACGGGGUCUAAUACCGGAUAUUGACCUUCACGGGCAUCUGUGAGGUUCGAAAGCUCCGGCGGUGCAGGAUGAGCCCGCGGCCUAUCAGCUUGUUGGUGAGGUAAUGGCUCACCAAGGCGACGACGGGUAGCCGGCCUGAGAGGGCGACCGGCCACACUGGGACUGAGACACGGCCCAGACUCCUACGGGAGGCAGCAGUGGGGAAUAUUGCACAAUGGGCGAAAGCCUGAUGCAGCGACGCCGCGUGAGGGAUGACGGCCUUCGGGUUGUAAACCUCUUUCAGCAGGGAAGAAGCGAAAGUGACGGUACCUGCAGAAGAAGCGCCGGCUAACUACGUGCCAGCAGCCGCGGUAAUACGUAGGGCGCAAGCGUUGUCCGGAAUUAUUGGGCGUAAAGAGCUCGUAGGCGGCUUGUCACGUCGGUUGUGAAAGCCCGGGGCUUAACCCCGGGUCUGCAGUCGAUACGGGCAGGCUAGAGUUCGGUAGGGGAGAUCGGAAUUCCUGGUGUAGCGGUGAAAUGCGCAGAUAUCAGGAGGAACACCGGUGGCGAAGGCGGAUCUCUGGGCCGAUACUGACGCUGAGGAGCGAAAGCGUGGGGAGCGAACAGGAUUAGAUACCCUGGUAGUCCACGCCGUAAACGGUGGGCACUAGGUGUGGGCAACAUUCCACGUUGUCCGUGCCGCAGCUAAC